CCCAUAUCCCCCCACAUCCCCCCGUCCCCUACCUGACACCGCCGCCUUUGGGACCGUCCCCAAAUGGGUCUCAAUGUCCCCAAAUGGGUCUCAAUGUCCCCAAAUAGGGUCCCACUGUCCCCAAAUGGGACUCAAUGUCCCCAAAUGGGUCUCAAUGUCCCCAAUCCUGAUCCCACUGUCCCCAAAUGGGUCUCAAUGUCCCCAAAUCAGAUCCCACUGUCCCCAAAUGGGCCUCAAUGUCCCCAAAUAGGAUCCCACUGUCCCCAAAUGGGGUCCCACUGUCCCCAAAUGGGUCUCAAUGUCCCCAAUUUUGAUCCCACUGUCCCCAAAUGGGUCUCAGCGCCCCACAGCCCCCCCCUUCCCCCCAUAACCCCCCCAUAUCCCCCCACAUCCCCCCGUCCCCUACCUGACACCGCCGCCUUUGGGACCGUCCCCAAAUGGGUCUCAAUGGCCCCAUAUCAUAUCCCAUUGUCCCCAAAUCAGAUCUCAAUGUCCCCAAAAUUGGGUCUCAACGUCCCCAAAUGGGCCUCGAUGUCCCCAAAAUUGGGUCGCAAUGUCCCCAAAUGGGCCUCCAUGUCCCCAAAUCAGAUCCCACUGUCCCCAAAUGGGCCUCAAUGUCCCCAAAUGGGCCUCAAUGUCCCCAAAUGGGCCUCAAUGUCCCCAAAUCAGAUCCCACUGUUCCCAAAUGGGUCUCAAUGUCCCCAAAUAGGGUCCCACUGUCCCCAAAUGGGCCUCAAUGUCCCCAAAUCAGAUCCCACUGUCCCCAAAUGGGUCUCAAUGUCCCCAAAUGGGUCUCAGCCCCCCC
rnacentral:lncRNA from 1 species